rnacentral:rRNA from 1 species
AACGUAGGUCACAAGCGUUGUCCGGAAUUACUGGGUGUAAAGGGAGCGCAGGCGGGAAGACAAGUUGGAAGUGAAAUCCAUGGGCUCAACCCAUGAACUGCUUUCAAAACUGUUUUUCUUGAGUAGUGCAGAGGUAGGCGGAAUUCCCGGUGUAGCGGUGGCAUGCGUAGAUAUCGGGAGGAACACCAGUAGCGAGGGCGGCCUACUGGGCACCAACUGACGCUGAGGCUCGAAAGUGUGGGUAGCAAACAGG